UAAAGUGGGAGCAACAAGAAGCUGCUUGUGUGUAAUUUCUCACACCAGCCAUGCUUACAGCAUGCCAAAGGUUAAGCAGAAUUGCAGAAACAGGAAAAAAAAGGAAGAGAAAAAAAACUCACCGGUAAAUGACUAAGAGGAACAUCCACUUGUCCCAGGAAAUCAUCUCUGGUCUAGGAAAGAACAACAAAAAGCAGGUCGCUGUGUUGGAGCAGCUGCAUCUCCCCAGGGCACAGAUGUGUGAAUGACAGAAAGAAAAGCUUGGUCACCACUUGAUGGUUUGCGUGUAUAAAUCUCUACAUGCUAAACUUGAAA